GGGGCCGUAGCUCAGGUGGCUAGAGCGCCGCGUUCGCAACGCGGAGGUCACGGGUUCGAGUCCCGUCGGCUCCA
rnacentral:tRNA from 1 species